GGGCCUGGCUGGCUGGGGAGCAUCCUUGCAGAAGCGGCAUCGGUCAUGUAGGAUGGAGGUCUGCUCUGAAGCUCUGGAAGCAGCUCUUACCGGUCACCCCUCAUUUGUCUGCCUCUCUCUGAGUCCUGGAAUCCUACACAGGCUACAUCAGGGUGUGUAUUGUCUGGGCCCCCAAGCAACCUGUCAUCUUUUUUGUCUGACUGACUGGAUUUAUUCUCUCCUCCUUGAAAGUUCACAAUGUCACCGAAAGACAAAGUCCUUGGCUCUUUUUUCCCUUUCCAACUAGAUUAUUGGAGUAGAGGAAGGUUUUCCUAGUUUAGCUUCCCAGAGA
rnacentral:lncRNA from 1 species